AGAGGACACUUGAAGUCUGUGUUGAGAGAGAUUCAGAGAUACAGGCCCACAACCACUUCCUGGAGCAACAGAGACUGGAGAUAGUGAGGCAGCUUGGGGCCCUGUCAGGGCAGGGCAGCACGGCCUACCUGGAGACUAUGCUGCUGGAGCUAAGGGACCAAAUCAGCCAAUAGAGGGCAGCAGAGGAUACUCACAACAGGCCUGUGGAACAGGUCGCACGGGUCAAAGAGGUUAGGUCUGACUCACACAGCCCUACCCUGCCUGAGGACACAAAGGGACACAUCAACUUUGACCUCAUAUCCUCUGUGGAUGGCCCCCUCUCCUCCCAAAUAAGAGCUCUGAGGCUGGCCUACAUGCAGUCCGGUGGAUCUGUUCCAGCCAUUCUGGCCCAGGUGCAUGCCUGCAGGCUGAGGCCCACACUCUGGAGCAGCAGGCCCAACCUGGGGCUGAAACCAGCUGCAGGAGGAAGAAGAUGAAGCAUCCUCACCAGGCUGGGAACUCAGAGGUCCUCGCUGUGGAGCAGGAGAACCUGAGACUGGAGGAAGAGAUCUUCAGGAUACAAUUGCCAGGGAGAAACACUGCGGGGAAUACGGUGGGUUGUCCUCUCCAUCUAAUCUUUGUCAUGAAUAUAACAUACGCAUCAUUCUAUACAUAGAGAGGCAACAUUGCUGAUAAACAAUGACAGUAAGGAGUUAUCACAUACAGUGGGGAGAACAAGUAUUUGAUACACUGA